rnacentral:lncRNA from 1 species
UUCGAUCCACCCCCUCGGUGAAAAACCGUAAUACGCCCUGAGGAAUUCCUACCAGCAGACUUCCCUGUACUCAAAGUGAAUUGUCUAAGUGCUCUCCUUUGUCUCAUUGUUUACUACCAGCAGACUUCCCUGUACUCAAAGUGAAUUGUCUAAGUGCUCUCAUUUGUCUCAUUGUUUAUCUCGUAAUCAUUCGAUUCCGCCCCUAAAGCUAGCUCCUACUCCUCCUCCUUCCCCUUUAGGAUAGGAUCCUCCUUGGUCCUUUUUACAUAACAUUCUCGGCAGCCUCCGGUCAGGUAGGUCGGUCGCCCUCUAGCCAGUGACUAGCCCAGCUAUGGAGCUAGGUCUACACCGCCACGUCGAGACUCUCUUUCGAAAGUGAGAUACCGACUUUCAUAAGAGGGAAAGAUCACUCCGUCAUGUAGCAGAGCUGUGUUCAUCUAACUAUAAAUUUCAUAAAAGAAGAAGAAUCGUAGCGUAGGGUCGACAUAAACAAUCGGUUAAAAUAGUCUAAUGAGAAAGCAUCUGUUCACGUUCAUAGUUGCAAUAAGUUUUCUUUUUCUAAUCGAGAUUGGCUUGGUCUUCAGUCUACCCUAAGAAACCUAAACUCUCACUCCCUUGCUUUCACUCCUAAAUGCAGCCGUGAUCUUUCCCUGUAACUCGAGAAAGAAUAAGAGAGAUGGGAUCUCCUUUAGGGGUUAAUCUAUCCGAAUGUCCUAACUAGGAAAAAGAGGCUGUCUCAGAUCAUGGGACUCGAGAAUUAAUAAGAGAGAUAGGAUCUCCUUUAGGGGUUAAUCUAUGCGAAUGUCCUAUCUAGGAAAAAGAGGCUGUCUCAUAUCAUGGGAGAGUCAUCCUCCGUCUAAGGAGAAGAGGCGCCGAGAGAUUCAAUGACCAAAGGUCUUGUCACGAGCUGGACU